GAUCCUACGGGGCGCAGCAGUGAGGAAUAUUGGUCAAUGGGCAGGAGCCUGAUCCAGCCAAGUCGCGUGAGGGACGACGGUCCUAUGGAUUGUAAACCUCUUUUGUCGGGGAACAAAGGCGCCCACGGGUGGGCGGAUGAGUGUACCCGAAGAAAAAGCAUCGGCUAACUCCGUGCCAGCAGCCGCGGUAAUACGUAGGGUGCGAGCGUUAAUCGGAAUUACUGGGCGUAAAGGGUGCGCAGGCGGUUGAGGAAGACAGAUGUGAAAUCCCCGCGCUUAACUCGGGA
rnacentral:rRNA from 1 species